rnacentral:lncRNA from 1 species
GAAUUUCAGAAGGAAAUGGGUCUAUCUAUCAGGCAGCGUGGCUCUUUGGCAAACCAUGGAUAUCUGGAAGCUCAAAAGUUUAAAAAACUCGAACUUCUUUGUGAAUUAGAAUUAGAUAAUAUAAACUGGGUGUGGAGGUACACACCUGUAAUCCCGGCACUUGGUAGGCUGAAGCAGGAGGAUCAGUGCAAAUUCGAGGCCAGCAUGGGCUACACAGUGAGUUCAAGACCAGCCUGAACUACAUAGUGAAAUGCUGUCUCAAAAAACCAACAAACAAAUAAGACAAAAUAACAACAAAAAGAAAAGCAGUUAGAUGAUAUAAAGGAUGAUUUUGAAGAUGAUGACUCUUUUGAAGAAGAU